CACCGCGGUUAUACGAGAGACCCAAGUUGUUAGACACCGGCGUAAAGAGUGGUUAGGAAUACUCAUUCAACUAGAGCCGAACACCUUCAAAGCUGUUAUACGCACCCGAAGGUAAGAAGCCCAACUACGAAAGUGGCUUUAUGUUAACUGACCCCACGAAAGCUAGGAUA
rnacentral:rRNA from 1 species